rnacentral:rRNA from 1 species
UACAGAGGGUGCGAGCGUUAAUCGGAAUUACUGGGCGUACAGGGAGCGUAGGCGGUUGGAUAAGCCCUCCGUGAAAUCUCCAGGCUUAACCUGGAAAGUGCAGAGGGGACUGUUCAGCUAGAGGAUGGGAGAGGAGCGCGGAAUUCCCGGUGUAGCGGUGAAAUGCGUAGAGAUCGGGAGGAAGGCCGGUGGCGAAGGCGGCGCUCUGGAACAUUUCUGACGCUGAGGCUCGAAAGCGUGGGGAGCAAACAGG